UACGUAGGGUGCGAGCGUUGUCCGGAAUUAUUGGGCGUAAAGAGCUCGUAGGUGGCUUGUCGCGUCGGAUGUGAAAGCCCGGGGCUUAACCCCGGGUCUGCAUUCGAUACGGGCAGGCUAGAGUUCGGUAGGGGAGAUCGGAAUUCCUGGUGUAGCGGUGAAAUGCGUAGAUAUCUGGAGGAAUACCGGUGGCGAAGGCGGCAUCCUGGACCGACAUUGACGCUGAGGCGCGAAGGCUAGGGGAGCAAACGGG
rnacentral:rRNA from 1 species